AAAAGAACUCACUCACUCCAGACAAUAAUGGCUGAAGCCAACAGAAGCCCAGCUGACUUUGAGAUAUAUAGUAUCAUCCGACAGGUGAAUGAGAAAAUGUUUCUAGCUUUAAGAGUGAGAUACGAGCACAUUUCAGAAUUGAGCGACUUCGUCUACAAUGUUGUGUGAUAUGUAUUAACGAACAAAAUACUAUUUUUUUCCCCCCACAUAUUUUUGGGGAACCUGUCGCAUUCUUCACAGGACUGAGUUUAUUUCACAUCAGGGCAACUCAAUUUGUUUGUAGUUGAAGCAGCAAUAGCCCGAAGUGCGAGAGGCUCAGACGGAAGUAUUUCAGAAAAAGAAAGAGAGAAAGAAAGAAGAAAAAUAAGAACAGCGCCAACAUCAGAAGAGGCCUUACCAUCCAUCAAAGCGUCUUCCAGCUUUUCAUCUCGCCCAGACUAUCUAUACCUGUAAUUAGGUUUGGGUGAGGGAGAAGAUGGAUUUGGUUUGCAGCACCAUGCAGAGAAAAACAAGACAUCAGGAAGUCCUUACCGCUGUUCUGGGACCAGCCCUUAAUGGGUGUCUAAUUGACCUGGUCUGUCAUGUGGCCAUGGCUUCAUGCGGUCAGGGGGGCAGUUAUCUAUAUGUGUCAUCCUGAGAGGAUUAGCAUUAGUAGUGCGUGCGUCUGUCUGUCUGUCUGUCUGUCUGUCUGUCUGUCUGUCUGUCUGUCUGUCUGUCUGUCUGUCUGUCUGUCUGUCUGUCUGUCUCUGUCUGUCUGGUUGUGGGUGAUGGGUGGCAUCAUGGGGUUCCUAUAAUUGCCUUCCAGAUGAGAUGUGAGUGAAUCAGGAAAACAUGAAUGAAUUAACAUAGUACCCUUCUACCUAAAAGUCAGGCAUACAACACAUUAUCUGAAAGAGGACCGCUAAAAUCUAUUAUCCAAAUGCUCUAUAAAAUAGGAGUGAAUCCAGCAUCUCUAUUUACUUCCUGUCUCUGGUGCAGCUGUACUGCAGACACGCACAUCGCUUCAGUGACCUUCAGGAUGAUCUGAAAACCAAGAAUGAUGCCUCCGGUGUGUUACUGGUGUGUCUCCUCUCCCAAGAUGGACAGCCGAGCAUUAUUGAUCACAAAACACUUCAACAGUGCUAUAUACUGUGUCGCCUAUGGAAGCACAUUUAAGAGAACAUGUCGUAGCAAUUCACGUUUUUUUCUGCUAUAAAGCGUGUGAUGAAAUGGUG